GACGAACGCUGGCGGCGUGCUUAACACAUGCAAGCCGAACGGUAAGGCCCUUCGGGGUACACGAGUGGCGAACGGGUGAGUAACACGUGGGUGAUCUGCCCUGCACUUCGGGAUAAGCCUGGGAAACUGGGUCUAAUACCGGCUAGGACUCGGGACUGCAUGGUCUGGGGUGGAAAGCUUCUGCGGUGUGGGAUGGGACCGCGGCCUAUCCGCUUGUUGGUGGGGUGAUGGCCUACCAAGGCGACGACGGGUAGCCGGCCUGAAAGGGUGGCCGGCCACACUUGGACUGAGAUACGGCCCAGACUCCUACGGGAGGCGGCAGUGGGAAAUAUUGCACAAUGGUCGCAAGCCUGAUGCAGCGACGCCGCGUGAGGGAUGACGGCCUUCGGGGUGUAAACCUCUUUCAGCAUCGACGAAGCGAAAGUGACGGUAGGUGCAGAAGAAGGACCGGCCAACUACGUGCCAGCCGCCGCAGUAA
rnacentral:rRNA from 1 species